AGCAGCCGCGGUAAUUCCAGUUCCAAUAGCGUAUAUUAAAGUUGUUGCAGUUAAAAAGCUCGUAGUUGAAUUUCGGGGUCAGUAGGCUGGUCGUGCCACAGGUAUGUACUGGUCUUACUGAUUCCUCCUUCCUGAUGAACCGUAAUGCCAUUAAUUUGGUGUUGCGGGGAAUCUGGACUGUUACUUUGAAAAAAUUAGAGUGUUUAAAGCAGGCUAACGCUUGAAUACAUUAGCAUGGAAUAAUGAAAUAGGACGAUCGAUCCUAUUUUGUUGGUUUCUAGGAUUGACGUAAUGAUUAAUAGGGAUAGUUGGGGGCAUUAGUAUUCAAUUGUCAGAGGUGAAAUUCUUGGAUUUACUGAAGACUAACUACUGCGAAAGCAUUUGCCAAGGAUGUUUUCAUUAAUCAAGAACGAAAGUUAGGGGAUCGAAGACGAUCAGAUACCGUCGUAGUCUUAACCAUAAACUAUGCCGACUAGGGAUCGGAUGAUGUUAAUUUUUAAUGACUCAUUCGGCGCCUUAA
rnacentral:rRNA from 1 species